rnacentral:snoRNA from 14 species
GUUCCCAAUGAUGUUACUUUUAACCAUGCUAAUGCUGAUUACAUGAUUAUCUUUAAUAUCAAUAUACUGAGGGAACA